rnacentral:rRNA from 1 species
UACGUAGGGGGGCAAGCGUUGUCCGGAAUUAUUGGGCGUAAAGAGCGCGUAGGCGGUCCGAUAAAGUCGACUGUGAAAGUCUAGGGCUCAACCCUGGAAAGCCGGUCGAUACUGUCGGACUAGAGUCCCGGAAGAGGCAAGUGGAAUUCCCGGUGUAGCGGUGAAAUGCGCAGAUAUCGGGAGGAACACCAAUUGGCGAAGGCAGCUUGCUGGGACGGU